rnacentral:rRNA from 1 species
GACGAACGCUGGCGGCGUGCUUAACACAUGCAAGUCGAACGGAAAGGCCCUGCUUUUGGGGGGAGCUCGAGUGGCGAACGGGUGAGUAACCCGUGAGUAACCUGCCCUUGACUUUGGGAUAACUUCAGGAAACUGGGGCUAAUACCGGAUAGGAGCUCCUGCUGCAUGGUGGGGGUGGGAAAGUUUCGGCGGUUGGGGAUGGACUCGCGGCUUAUCAGCUUGUUGGUGGGGUGGUGGCUUAGCAUGGCUUUGACGCGUAGCAGGGCUGAGAGGGUGACAGGCCAUAUUGCGAUUGGGAUGCGGCCCAGACUCCUACGGGACGCAGCAGUGGGGAAUAUUGCACUAGGGGCGGAAGCCUGAUGCAGCAACGCCGCGUGCGGGAUGACGGCCUUCGGUUUGUAUUCCGCUUUCGCCUGUGACGAAGCGUGAGUGACGGUAAUGGGUAAAGAAGCACCGGCUAACUCCGUG